UCCGGUUUGUCACCGGCAGUCUCAAUAGAGUGCCCUUGCGUAGCAACUAUUGAUAAGGGUUGCGCUCGUUGCGGGACUUAACCCAACAUCUCACGACACGAGCUGACGACAGCCAUGCAGCACCUGUCUCAAUGUUCCCGAAGGCACCAAUCCAUCUCUGGAAAGUUCAUUGGAUGUCAAGGCCUGGUAAGGUUCUUCGCGUUGCUUCGAAUUAAACCACAUAAUCCACCGCUUGUGCGGGUCCCCGUCAAUUCCUUUGAGUUUAAGCCUUGCGGCCGUACUCCCCAGGCAGUCAACUUCACGCGUUAGCUUCGUUACCAAGGAAUUACUUCCCCGACAACUAGUUGACAUCGUUUAGGGCGUGGACUAC
rnacentral:misc_RNA from 1 species